GGAGGAAAAGAAACCAACAGGGAUUGCCUUAGUAGCGGCGAGUGAAGCGGCAAAAGCUCAAAUUUGAAAUCUGGCUCUUUCAGAGUCCGAGUUGUAAUUUGAAGAAGGUAUCUUUGGGUCUGGCUCUUGUCUAUGUUUCUUGGAACAGAACGUCACAGAGGGUGAGAAUCCCGUGCGAUGAGAUGAUCCAGGCCUAUGUAAAGUUCCUUCGAAGAGUCGAGUUGUUUGGGAAUGCAGCUCUAAGUGGGUGGUAAAUUCCAUCUAAAGCUAAAUAUUGGCGAGAGACCGAUAGCGAACAAGUACAGUGAUGGAAAGAUGAAAAGAACUUUGAAAAGAGAGUGAAAAAGUACGUGAAAUUGUUGAAAGGGAAGGGCUUGAGAUCAGACUUGGUAUUUUGUAUGUUACUUCUUCGGGGGUGGCCUCUACAGUUUAUCGGGCCAGCAUCAGUUUGGGCGGUAGGAGAAUUGCGUUGGAAUGUGGCACGGCUUCGGUUGUGUGUUAUAGCCUUCGUCGAUACUGCCAGCCUAGACUGAGGACUGCGGUUUAUACCUAGGAUGUUGGCAUAAUGAUCUUAAGUCGCCCGUCUUGAAACA
rnacentral:rRNA from 1 species